CAGUCGCCACGGUAAUACGAAGGGUGCAAGCGUUACUCGGAAUUACUGGGCGUAAAGCGUGCGUAGGUGGUGGUUUAAGUCCGUUGUGAAAGCCCUGGGCUCAACCUGGGAAUUGCAGUGGAUACUGGGUCACUAGAGUGUGGUAGAGGAUAGUGGAAUUUCCGGUGUAGCAGUGAAAUGCGUAGAGAUCGGAAGGAACAUCUGUGGCGAAGGCGACUAUCUGGGCCAACACUGACACUGAGGCACGAAAGCGUGGGGAGCAAACAGGAUUAGAGACCCCCGUAGUCCCUGUCUCUUAUAC
rnacentral:rRNA from 1 species